rnacentral:rRNA from 1 species
GACGAACGCUGGCGGCGUGCCUAAUACAUGCAAGUCGAGCGGGGAUUAUGCUUGAUCGCUUCGGUGAGACGGCAUAUAUCCUAGCGGCGGACGGGUGAGUAACGCGUGGGUAAUCUACCUCGUAGUUCGGGAUAACAGGCCGAAAGGCUUGCUAAUACCGGAUGAGUUCAUGCUUAUGCAUAUAGGCAUGAAGAAAGGGCUAGCCCGCUAUGAGAUGAGCCCGCGUCCCAUUAGCUUGUUGGUGAGGUAAGAGCUCACCAAGGCGAUGAUAGAUAGGCGGCCUUAACGGGUGGUCGCCCACACUGGGAUUGGAGAUACGGCCCAGACUCCUACGGGAGGCAGCAGUCGAGAAUAGUCUACAAUGGCCGGAAGGCUGAUAGUGCGACGCCGCGUGAACGAGGGAGCCCGUUCGGGGUGUAAAGUUCUUUUCUAUACGAGCAGUGCUAUAUAUAUGGAUAGUAUAUAUAGAGGGAUAGU